rnacentral:rRNA from 1 species
GAUAAACGCUAGCGGCAGGCCUAACACAUGCAAGUCGAGGGGCAGCGGGGAGUAGCAAUACUCUGCCGGCGACCGGCGCACGGGUGAGUAACGCGUAUGCAACUUACCUAUCAGAGGAGAAUAGCUCAUCGAAAGAUGAAUUAAUGCUCCAUAAAACAGGGGUCCCGCAUGGGAAUAUUUGUUAAAGAUUUAUCGCUGAUAGAUAGGCAUGCGUUCCAUUAGGCAGUUGGCGGGGUAACGGCCCACCAAACCGACGAUGGAUAGGGGUUCUGAGAGGAAGGUCCCCCACAUUGGUACUGAGACACGGACCAA